CCAAGAUAGUUUUAGGUGGCCACAAACGCUAAAAAUAAUAAGAUUAACGAAACAUCUACAGUCUAGAUUCCGUCCUUAAACUUGGGAGCGGACAGUGCUGUGUGUCAGUGGAAAGAUGUUUUAUACUCAUUUUGCUAAAUUAGGAUGACUUCAUGGAGUCCAGGUUCUCAGCACUCGCCAGCGGCCCCUGGGCUGAAAUGCAGGUGCCUGCAGGACCAUCAGCAUGGAGACACCUGUCUGCAGUUGCUUGUCUCUGCCCUGAGGGAAUAAAGUCUUCUGUGCGUAUUUCAAACACUGUGAGAGAAAGCAAGUUCCUUUGUCAAAGGUAAGUUAUAAAAGUGCUUACACUGCAAGAUUUUCCUGAUUUCAGAAUAGUAUUCCUAAAGGAUUUAGCUUUGAUCAGUGUGUUUGCUUACAUGCUUCUAAUUCUCUUGCUUUAGAGGUGAAAACACCCCAGGCCUUAGCCUUGCCUUUGGUUCCUAAGAGAGUCGACCUUGAGUUCCUAAAUGUUAAUUCAGCUGAUAAUUUGCUAAAUAUGCUAUCUCUGAUUAAAGCCAGUGGUAAUUGCAGAGAAUUUCCGUAGACUAUUAAUCCAUACUGGAAUUAAUAAAGAGCAUAUUUUGACUUUUCA
rnacentral:lncRNA from 1 species